rnacentral:rRNA from 1 species
AUUGAACGCUGGCGGCAGGCCUAACACACGCAAGUCGAGCGGAUGAAGGGAGCUUGCUCCUGGAUUCAGCGGCGGACGGGUGAGUAAUGCCUAGGAAUCUGCCUGGUAGUGGGGGAUAACGUCCGGAAACGGGCGCUAAUACCGCAUACGUCCUGAGGGAGAAAGUGGGGGAUCUUCGGACCUCACGCUAUCAGGUGAGCCUAGGUCGGAUUAGCUAGUUGGUGGGGUAAAGGCCUACCAAGGCGACGAUCCGUAACUGGUCUGAGAGGAUGAUCAGUCACACUGGAACUGAGACACGGUCCAGACUCCUACGGGAGGCAGCAGUGGGGAAUAUUGGACAAUGGGCGAAAGCCUGAUCCAGCCAUGCCGCGUGUGUGAAGAAGGUCUUCGGAUUGUAAAGCACUUUAAGUUGGGAGGAAGGGCAGUAAGUUAAUACCUUGCUGUUUUGACGUUACCAACAGAAUAAGCACCGGCUAACUUCGUG